GACAAUCGGAGAAUGUUAGACAAUCAGGCAAUUAAAGAAUGUGUUAAUGCAAAAUUAUAUUUUAUAAAUGAAGUACAAUGUGGAAAGGGUUGCUUUUUCUAGAUCGACCAGUUCUGUUCAAAAGCAUCCACUGCCAGAGCUAAAGGAUCUGGUUUCAAACUGUAAAAGAGAAGCAGUUGAGUGUUCAACCUGUCCGCAAAAAGACCUAACGCACAAGGCCACCGAAUACGCAUUAAAGCAAGAAAAAUCUCAUGACAUAGUACCAAUCAUUCGAUCCGUUGAAAUACCAAGACUACCAAUCUGCAAGUACGUUUACCGGACCAGGUAGAUGUUCUGCACUGAGAUGAAUAUUGCGAUUUGACGCCCAUUCCCAUAAGGCCAGAGCCAAGUUGGAAAGAACAAGUAAGCACGUUCACCCUACGCAGUUUCUAAAUGCCGCAGCUGAAGUGUGUCCAUGCGAGGCCUAACAUGGACACAUAAUUGACCCUUUGUGAAGCUCAUCGCCGCAAAGGAAACCACAAAAAGUUGUAAACAAUUUAAGUGAAGCUUUCUUUCCAUUUCAUGAGCCUCCGCUCCUCACACCCUGACAAACUGCUUUCAACCUUGACGCGAAGCAUCUGUUUUGAUCAUUAAAUUCGACGAUGAAUGCAGAAUCAUUAGACCAUUCCAAGCGUCGUGAUGCGCAAUCCAUCAACGUAAUUCUUCCUUGGCAUCGUUGGGAAGAGCUAGAGUCACAUCAUAACCCAAGUGUUGCGCUACAACUCAGUGUUUUAGAUGUUGAAGUGAUGGGUAAUGCAGUGGAGCAGGAAAGAUAGCCUGAAUCGAUGCGGUCAACUUGCCAAAAGGGUGAGGAUUUGGAAGAUAAUGAAAAAAAUAAGAAAAUUAGAAAAAAGUCACUGAAAGUUUCGAAGAUGAAGGCAGAAAUUCGAUUUUUCAAUGGCAGUAAAGUGGAAAAGAUUCCAAUGAUUUAAUUUACUUUACGUAGAAAAAUUUCCAACGCUAGAUUUAUCUACAAAACUAUCCUAACACUACAAUAUAUAAGAGAUGGAAGUUUUAUGAAAAUUUUUUAAUAGCUUAUAAGCAUUAUUAUGCAAAAAUGAAAUUUAAAUAAAUGCGUGUGCGAUAGUUAAUUUAAUUUUAUAUUAUGAGCAACAAACACAUAGAAGAUCUCAAUUUUA